AGCUGACCUGCCAGAAGUGCCCCAGGGUGGGGGACUGUGCUGUGAGCAGCUGGGACAGCAAAGCGUUUAGAGCCUCCAGCAAGUCUCACUAAAUUGUUGAGGCUGGCCUAGAAUUUGUGAUCCUCCUGCCUCAGUCUCCUGAGUCUGGGAUUACAGGUGUGGGCCAGGAUCACCCAGGUAUUAUUUCUUCUUCUCCUUCUCCUUCUCCUCCUCCUCCUCCCCCUCCUCCUCCUCCUCCUCCUCCUCCUCCUUCUUCCUAGGGAUUUAACCACUGAGCCAUAAUCCCCAGCCUUUUUUCUUUUAUUUUUUAUUUUAAGACAGGGUCUUGCCAAGCUACUUAAGGCCUCCCUAAAUGACUGAGGCUGACCUCAAAUUUGAGAUCUUCCUGCUUCAGCUUCCCAAACUGCUGGGAUUACAGGUGUGCACCACCACACCUGGCAUACUACAGCCUUUUCAAUGAAUUUAUCCUUGUAUCUCAGUUCAAAUAUUGCUUCCUCAGGAAGUUUAUCUAAUGCCUUCAAGUUAAUGUACUCUCAUAGGAUCAUGUUUCAUUAAAAGUUAUUUAUAUGGGCUGGGGAUGUGGCUCAAGCGGUAGCACGCCCGCCUGGCAUGUGUGCCGCCCAGGUUCGAUCCUCAGCACCUUAGGGGGAUCAGAGCUGCUUUGGGACCCUAACCAGGUCCCAGAUUUUUGACCCAACUUACUGAGGCCAUCACCAAAUAUACAAAUUUAAUGUCAGCAGCCCUAAUGGCAGGCUCCUUCCACACUUUAUCUGUGGAUCUGCACCUGACAACCACAAGAAACUCAGACGAUUAAAGAAGGGUCUUGAGUCUCCUCAACAGUUACUUUUAGAUAAGGUUUUCUUCAACUGGGAGGAUAAAACCAAAAAGAAAAGAAGAAGACAACUUAAAAUUAAAUACCAGCUCUUGGCCUCUACAAUUCAGGGCCAAAAACCAGGACCCUGUCUUCAAUGUAGACAGCAUGGACACUGGGCAAGAGCCUGCCCUAACCUGAGGCUUCCCACCGAGCCCUGACCCAAGUGUGAGCAAUGGAGAUACUGAAAGGUUGACUGUCCUCAAGGAAAACACCCCUCCUCUCAUGUGCAGCCAGUUUCUUAGGUCCCCUAAUACAUCAAAGAGCCUCAAAUUACAGAAAUAAUAAAUAGUCAAACAGCAGAUAAAUAUUCUACUUCUAAAGAGAUUUUAAAGACACAAGAAGCCAACAGGCCCAAAAGUAUUCAACUCCUCCCAGCCUACAACACAAAAGAAGGACUUCAAAACUCUCCCUCUCUCUCUCUCUUUGUCAUCCUUUCAUGCUGCUAAACUGAAACAAUUAACAGAAAAAUUCUCUCAUGUUGCUGAACUGAAAUUAUUAAUAGCUAUAUCAUUUUUUCCUGGGAUUCUUAUUUUUACAAUUCUAUAUUUUGAGUUCAUAAUUUUCAUCCUAUGCACCUAAAUUAUAAUUUCUGAUCAGACCUGUUUUAUAGAGGCCAAUUUACAAAAAUUGACUCUUAAUCUAAUAAAUUUCAAAAGUUGUAAGGCCUUUACUUGUUGUUCUAUGCUGACUUGUCCAUGUGUGUCAGAACCAACAUAUAGAGAGCUCAUAAACUAAAAUUAAAAAAUGGAUCCAAAUACCUUUGAUUUAUAUGAUUUAAAGGUUCAAUGUAAGUUGGGUAGACAAACAAAAGUAAAGAUAUCUUUAAAAUUACUUAACCCAAGUCUCUCUAGGUGGUCAACAACUAAUGAAAUGUUAACAUCUAUAAAAUGUCUAAUAUCUAUUGUUUCUAAGACUUCUCUUCAACAAGGGAAAAAUGACUUAUACUAUUUAAUACACUUGUCUGAUAUCUUUUUUUUUUACAGUAAGUAAGUAAAUUAAGCUUAACAUGUAAGAGAUUUGACAUGUAUGGAAGUACUUAUAAAUGUGUUUGUUAGAGACAUCUGAUUAAUCUACAAAGUUAAUAUGCUAACUAUUAAAUAUAACAUCAAGUACUCUUAGCUCCUUAAAGUCCAUACAGUAACAUUAUUGGUGUUUUCAUAGAUUGGUAAAUGAAAAAGGGGAUUAAAAAAUGCUCUGUGUCAUUACUUAAAAUAAGAUUACUAAAAAUUUAAAGUGCCAAACAGGUGUAAUUCUAUAUACUUGAACAUUGUGUUUUCAUGAAAUGGUAAACAGAUGUAAUUCUAUAUACAAAGGUUUAUAGAAGAUUUCUAUAUACAAAGGCCCAAAAGCUUUCAAGUGUGUUUCAAUUAGACUAUUAUAAAUAACAAAAUAUUCCUUCUCAUUAAAAUGAAGUAAUUUAUCUAGAUUCAGAAAUUUAUAAGAAUUGUUUCAAAAUGUAAACAUAAAAGGGGGUUAAUAGAAAAGAGAAAUUAGAAUUUCUAGGUACGAAAACUAAAACAAGAGAGUUUAAUUGAGAAAGAACGUCUAUGUAAAGAAUUGGCAAAUUUCAAGAAGCUUAAUUAUUUUUUUGUGUGGAAUAAUCAGUCAAAGAUAUUCAAAGUUUUUCUCUAAGGUAAAAAUGUUAAUGUAAUGAUGUAAAACAGAGUUUAAUCCAAGUGUUAAAGUAACAAGAAUUUCUUGAAACAUUAAUUUUACUCUUAACAUUGUGGCUAUUAAGUUUUUUCUUUUCUUUUUUUUUGAAACCGGGGAUUGAAUUUAGGGGCACUUGACCACUGAGCCACAUCCCCAGCCCAAUUUUAUAUUUUAUUUAGAGACAGAGUCUCACUGAGUUGCUUAGCCUAUUGCUGAGACUGGCUUUGAACUCACGAUUCUACUGUCUCAGCCUCCCAAGCCACUGGGAUUACAGGUGAGCGCCACUGCACCUGGCUGCUAUUAACGUUUAUUCUGUAGAACAACUAAUCUUAGAAAGAUUAAAGUUUAUAGGACUGUGGUUAAACAACAGCUGUUAUUUUGGAGUAUUAUACUAUGUUACAAAGUCUAGGUUUUUCUUUAAGAGCUAAACUUGAUUAAUAUAAUGACAUCAAUAUGAUUAUGGUACUAAUAUAUUAAAUUUAUUCAUUUCUUCCAGGUAUACAAGUCUUUAAGGUAAAAAGGUUAAAAACAAAAACAAAAGCAUUUUAUUGAACUGGUAUUCUCCAAACUAAGGUUAUCUGAUAGACUUAUAAGGAUAACAAUUUUAUUGAAGAUUUAUUUAUGUCAUUUAAUGUUUUAUGACUAGAUCUGUUAUCAAUAAGAUUUAUAAAGUUUGGUGUUACCUUUUACAUUGGAAUAAAAUUUAAAUGUAUUUUUAAGUUAACGAGAGGCUAAUCUGUUUAAAGGUUAAUACUGUAAAACACAGAAACAUUUUGCUACUUUUCCACAAAAAAGGUUAAAACUCUCUCAACCUUUCUUUAAUUCAUGUUUUAAAUGUAAUGUCAUAUUGUUAGCUGACAUUCAUGUGGACUCAGGAAACAAUAUAUGUAAACUUUAUAAAAUGAUAUUUAAGGAAGAGACAAAAAUCACCUUCACAACUAAAACACUUUACCUAAAAUUCAUCAAGAGCCUCAUCCUAAGAUAAGGCCCUGCCUCCCAUCUUACUACAUGUUAAAUGGCUCAAAAACAGGUCAAACUUCAACUCAUUUAAAUUUAUGUCCAAAAGAGUAAUGUUUAUUGUAAAGAUUACUGUAAUUUGAAUUAGUUAUGAUAUAUAAGGCAGCCAAAAUUAAACAUAGCUGUUACAUAAACUAGACAUUUUUACUCUUGUUAAUUUCAUUUUGUAUUUUCUUUGUAAACUUUAUGGCUAUUGCUUAUUAAUGUUUUACAGACUGUGGGCCCUUAAGAAGCCCCUACAAAUCUCUCCAUUCAAACUUAUAUAUGGGCAUCCAAUGAUGCCACCCACUAUACGAUCCCAGGCCCCAACUAUUCCACCAUACCUUUUAACCCCACAAUCAAAGUCUACCAUUCCAUCAGCUUUGGGACGGUUCCUCACAAUGGCAACCCCACACUUUGUAGAGACCCUCCUAAAUUGUGCACUAGAUAAAUGGAUGACUUUAACAGUCAUAUUAUUCAAUGUCAGAGACUGUUGCUUAACCACCCUCCAUUCACCUUUGUCCCCCCAAGGGCCCUUAACCCCACCUCCCAGAUGCUAGAAGAUGAUCCCUAUGAGCCCCUCCACCGACUGUGAGGAUAUACUUGACCAGGUGAGCUCAGGAAGGCCUGACUUGACCGAUGUUCCUUUGGCUGAGGCUGAAGCCAUCCUGUUCACAGAUGGCAGCAGCCAAGUCAUAGAUGGGGCUCAGAAGGCUGGAGCCAUGGUCACAAUGGAAACAGAAAUCAUUUGGGCUCAAAUACUCCCCAAAGGAACUUCAACCUGGACACAGCAGGGGAAGCUUAUUGGCCUUAUACAGGCUUGAAGGUGCGGAAGUAUUAACCAUUAUGGAAACCAUCAUGGCAAGGAUCAAACCUUCACCAACCGAAGAGUCAAUCAGAUGCUCCUGGGAAGACAUGUUCCCGCCAGAAGAAACGCCCUUCUAGGACCUGCUUCUGCCCCUGUCUUCACCCCCAUUCAGCAGGAAGCAGCUACAAGAAGAGUGACCUUCGCUCACCAGCUCCCCGCCCCCCUCCUGCCUCAGAGCCUCUUAUCCAAACCAAAAGGGAGGAAUGUUAACAUCCUCAGAAUCUGAGGUGAUGCCUGGCUUCUUGCUUUGGAGAUGGAGUGAUGUUGCCCAGACAGGGAGUGUGAGAGAAUGUGAGGCCUGGAGGGUGGCAUUAGAUGAUGACUUCAGUUUGGAGCCUGUAUUGGUUUAGAUGUGGCAUCCCCCAAAAGCUCACGUGUGAGACAAUGCAAGAAGGUUUGGAGGAGAAAUGAUUGGGUCAUAGCCUUAACCUAAUCAGUGAAUUAAUCCCUGAUGGGACUGACUGAGUGGUAACUGGAAUGAAGAUGAAAGGAAGGAAGGAAGGGAAAGGAAAGAAAAGAAAAAAAAAAUGGGUCUGUGGCGUCCAUGAGAGUUGGAUUUUGACCUGGGAGCCAUCAUCCCUAAGAGUGGAUGGGAUUGCCUAGAAGGGGAGGUGGAGACAGAUUCCAAUAUUCAAGCUGAGACUCCUAAUCUGGGCCUUGUGAGUGGAUUUCCCUGAGUCCAUGUGCCCCUUGAAUUGUACAGGAGAAGCUAGGCAGUAUGGGGUUGUCUUUAAGAGUCUCAAAGGGAUAUAUGACCCACCAAAAUUAAGGACUAUGGAUAUAAGCACCAGGUAUGUAUAAAAAGAUUCAAUGAAGAAGAGUGAGUAGGAAGGGGUGACCAGAGAAAUGGUAAGAAACUCAGGAGAUGUCAGGAGACUAAGGUUGGGUAACUUAGCUAGACCCUGACUCAAAAUUAGGACUGGGGAUAUAGCUUGGGAGUAGAGUGACCCUGGGUUCAAUCCCUAGUACCACCACCAACAAGGUUUUCCUGAGUUGCUUAGGGCCUUGCCUUUACUGAGGCUGGCUUUGAACUCUUGAUCUUCCUGCCUGAGCCUCCCAAGCCGCUGGAAUUAUAGGUGUGCGCCAAUGAACCCAGCUACCCUUCCUUCGUUUUAAGGAAGAAGUGUUUUGAACAUGGAUGUAAGUAGAAGAGAAAAAUCCUGCCUGGAUAUGGGUGGGAGGAGCACAAUAAGAGAGAGAAGACAUUGACAGGCAGGCUCUCAGAAGCGGGAUUCAGCACAGGUGGAGGGCCUGUGCCUGGGCAGAGGGAGCGCCACCUCCACCCCAAGAAAGAAGCAAGGGCGGCAGCGGAGAUGCGUAAUAGGCAGAAGACAUUAUUAAGGAUGUGGUGGCAGCAAAGGGGCCCCUCCAGGCACCAGGAGUUUAUGACUGUGGUGACUAGCAAAGAGAAGGAGCAAGGUGCGUCAGUUCUCAUUCCCAUUGUUCUGGGCUCUUCUGUUAUGAAGCUUUUACUGUCUUUCUCUAGCUGGGGACACGCUCAUCCAGGAAGCCUUCCCUGACUGAUACCGCCACUUGACCCUCUUCCCAGAAGCUGGCUCAGUUCCCCACUCCUCCUUUCCUCCAGCCCUGAGGCCAAGAGCUCCCUGGGUUUGUCUGUCUCUGGUCUCUGUUGAGAAGGCACACAGAAGCAAGAACUCAGGUGUCUAUAAAGUGGGUGACUUCACCCUCAGGACUGUCCCUCCCCAGUUCUCAGGUCUGGCUCUGCCCACAAGGGGGUGCUAGGUCAGAACAGGCCUGGCUGGCAUGGCCUGGGCAGCAGGCCCAGGUGGCAGGCUGGCAGGGCACUCAUGGCUCUGCCCCUGGCCCGGACCUUUGCUCCCAGUCCUAAUGGCACUGGCCUUGGUUACCAUGGCUGCAUUUAGUUUGGGAUAAACAGAGCUCUUCCUCCUCCCGUCCAGUUUACUGACACCCAACUGUCUCCCCAGGGAAUAGGCUGGAAUUUUAAGUGUCUGCUCACUCCCUAGGGGAGGCCCAAGGACGAUGAGUCACUGGAUUUUGGCCCCUUUCGGCCCCCUCACUGUUCUCUGGCUUUCUCUGAGGUUCCCUCCCGCCCCACCUCUGUCCAGCAGGAGUCGGGGAGGGGUGGAGGCUGGCGCUGGGACUCACCUGGGGUUAUUAGUGGCUGGGUGGAAGGGAGGAACCUUCCUGUCCUAUUUCCUGAGGCCAGCAGCAAUCCUCUGGAUCUUGGAAGAGAGUAACAAGUUUUUUUCUUCCUUUAUCUCCUGCAUCCUUGGGGUCCAGGGUGAGGGAGAGGAAAAGAUAGGAAUGCAGGGGAGAAGAGAUAGAGAUCAGAGUAGAAAAAAGGACUCAUCUGAUUAGAAUUGACUUUGAAAAACUUUUCAUUCAUUCAUUUAUUGAAUCAAAGAAGUUCUUGAACUUGGGUGCUGAGGGAAGAAGGAACACUGUUAAAGACAUGACCCUGCUUUUGAAGACGCUGCCUUCAUACUGGAGGGCCUUGGACUCAGAAUCUGGUGCCCUGCUUUGAAUCCUGAUCCACACUAGUUACUCCUCUGAGCCUUGUGUCUCCUUACCUGUACAUAAGGAUAAUACUACUGAACUCUUAAGGCCAUUGUGAGGGUCAAAUAUGAAAGAAUAUCUCAUUAACAGUCUCCAGGCUCAAUAUAUAUCAGGUUUACAGAAAGGGAGGGGAGUUCGGACAAGCCCACAGGAAAGUGGAACCCAGCCCAGGGGUGUGACAAAGGCCAGUUCUUGGGGUCUCUGUGGGAGCGGCCACUUACUGCAGAAAUGACUGGGGCAGGAUU